CCCCGGUGAGUUGUCGUUUAAAGCGUCGGAGUGACGCAGGAGGAUAGGAAAGGCGUACCCAUUGGACAUGGUAUGUCCCAAAGUCAAGGUGAUGCCGAAAUAGGUAAAUCCGUUUCGGAUAUUUAGCUGAGAUGCUGGGAGAGUCCUUCCACUACGGUGGAAUGUCGAUCUUUCUGAUUUCAUGCUGUCUAGAAAACCUUCGUCUGCUAUGGCAAUUUACCGACCGUACCGCAAACCGACACAGGUGGAUACUCCUAAAUGGGAGAAGGCGCGCGAGAUAACCCCCCUUAAGGAACUCGGCAAUUUAACCCCGUAACUUAGGAAUAAGGGGUGCCCUCGAUAGUUUUCGGGUAACCGAAUGCUUUUGAGGGUCACAGUAACAGGCCCGAGCGACUGUUUAACUAAAACAUAGGUCUCUGCGAAGGGGAAACCCGAAGUAUAGGGGCUGACGCCUGCCCAGUGCUGGAAGGUUAAGAGGAUGAGUGAGAGCUUUGAAUUUAAGCCCCAGUGAACGGCGGCCGUAACUAUAACGGUCCUAAGGUAGCGAAAUUCCUUGUCGGGUAAGUUCCGACCCGCACGAAUGGCGUAACGACUUGGGCGCUGUCUCGAGGGGGGACUCGGUGAAGUUGAAGUAUCCGUGAAGAUGCGGAUUACCCGCGGCAGGACAAAAAGACCCCGUGGAGCUUUACUGUAACCUGGCAUUGUGCUUGGGUCUCAGAUGUGUAGGAUAGGCGGGAGGCUAUGAAAUUUUGGCGUCAGCUGAGAUGGAGCCGUCCUUGAAAUACCGCCCCUCUUAGAUUUAUGUACUAACCCCUGAGCAAGCAGGGAGACCGUGUCAGGCGGGCAGUUUGACUGGGGCAGUCGCCUCCCAAAAGGUAAUGGAGGCGUACAAAGGUUCGCUCAGGGUGUAUGGAAACCACCCGCGGAGUGCAUUGGCAUAAGCGAGCUUGACUGUGAGGCAUACAAGCCGAGCAGGGACGAAAGUCGGUCAAAGUGAUCCUACGGCCCCGUGUGGAAGGGCCGUGGCUUAACGGAUAAAAGCUACCCCGGGGAUAACAGGCUGAUCCCUCCCAAGAGUUCAUAUCGACGGAGGGGUUUGGCACCUCGAUGUCGGCUCAACGCAUCCUGGGGGUGAAGGCGCUCCCAAGGGUCCGGCUGUUCGCCGGUUAAAGCGUUACGCGAGCUGGGUUCAGACCGUCGUGAGACAGGUCGGUCUCUAUCC
rnacentral:rRNA from 1 species